UGCAGUCAGAGGAUGCCAUCUGUGGAUGCAUUCAGAGGAUGCAGUCGGAGGACGCAGACUGAGGACCAGUCUGAGGACAGGAUCGCCCCUUUGGUCUGAGCAUCAGUAGAGUACAGACCGCUUGAUGCACUGAAUACGUUGGCUAUUGCUCUCCCAGGUUCAUACUGCCAACUAGAGUGAUGAAAAGUGGCUUCAUGAAUGAGGGACCUGAAGUCAGCUAUGAGAUAAGAGAGUGGGGCCCUUCGGAGAAGGAGAUGGAUGCACUGAAACAUUAUGUAUUCCUCUUCCGAUCCUUCAGUCCUGGGACACCAAGGACACAGUGGAAGUCACCAGAAAGAUAGCAUACCUCCAUCAAGUAAAAGGGGAAAAAAAGGAGAUAUUGACCGUAUCACCAGAAGUCAAAUUUGCACAACUAAGGCCAAGUUAUAGCCUUGUGCUCCAAGGGAGAAGCUACAUUACUAAUGACUCUGUGUUUAUGGAUGGUCCUUGAGACCAUAAAAUACUCAUUCAUUCAUCUGAAGAAGGGACUGCAUUUAUUGUUUCCUUGGGAUUGAAAUUACUUCCUAUUUGCAUAGACCAUUAUAGCACUUGUAUUCCUAUUAAAGAAAAAUAUGGGCUUAUGUUCUACAAGAUACUAGAACUACUAAUCAUAUGGGUCUCUUUUCAAGCUAUUCUCUAGAAUUUUCUGAUCAAUAUAAUGAAACUAAUAGUACAGGACAUAGUUUGUAUCUCUGUUCUUGGUGUUUCUUGGUGGCAGAGUAUUUCACACAAUGCUUUCUUGCUUAUAGGAUACUCAUCAAAUGACAACUAGAUUUAUCUACAACAUCUCAGAUCAAAACCCCUGGAUAUCCUGUAAUGAAAAAAUUAAAAAGGGUGAGAUAGAUGUCUGAACAGUUCAAGAAUGGAGUCAUGUGAGGGGCAUUCUGAGUGCUUGUAAGAAAACUCCAAGAAAACACAAGUCUGUGACCUAGUUUCUUCAAAACAUGGAAUUGGCCAGACGUUGGUGGCACACACCUUUAAUUCCAGCACU